UACGUAGGAGGCAAGCGUUGUCCGGAAUCACUGGGCGUAAAGCGCGUGUAGGUGGUGGGACAAGUCUGCUGGUGAAAGCGCCUGGCUUAACCGGGCGAGGUCGGCGGAAACUGUUCGACUCGAGGCCGGGUAGACGGGGGGUGGAAUUCCCGGUGUAGUGGUGAAAUGCGUAGAGAUCGGGAGGAACACCAGUGGCGAAGGCGACUUCCUGGCCUGUUCUUGACGCUGAGGCGCGAAAGCUAGGGUACGCAAACGGG
rnacentral:rRNA from 1 species